rnacentral:tRNA from 1 species
UUGUUUGAUGGCUGAGAACUAAGCGAUAGACUGUAGAUCUAUUAACGAAGUUAAAUCUUCUCAACAAA